rnacentral:rRNA from 1 species
AGUGAACGCUGGCGGUAGGCCUAACACAUGCAAGUCGAACGGCAGCACAGUAAGAGCUUGCUCUUACGGGUGGCGAGUGGCGGACGGGUGAGGAAUACAUCGGAAUCUACUUUUUCGUGGGGGAUAACGUAGGGAAACUUACGCUAAUACCGCAUACGACCUACGGGUGAAAGCAGGGGAUCUUCGGACCUUGCGCGAUUGAAUGAGCCGAUGUCGGAUUAGCUAGUUGGCGGGGUAAAGGCCCACCAAGGCGACGAUCCGUAGCUGGUCUGAGAGGAUGAUCGCCCACACUGGAACUGAAACACGGCCCAGACCCCUACGGGAGGCGGCAUGGGGGAAUUUUGGACAAGGGGCGCAAGCUGGACCCACCCAUCCCGGGGGGGGAAAGAAGCCCUUCGGGUUGAAAAGCCUUUUUGUGGGAAAAGAAAAGCAGCAGGUUAAUACCCCGCUGUUCGGACGGUACCAAAAGAAUAAGCACCGGCUAACUUCGUG